rnacentral:rRNA from 1 species
UGGGGAAUUUUGGACAAUGGGCGAAAGCCUGAUCCAGCCAUGCCGCGUGCAGGAUGAAGGCCUUCGGGUUGUAAACUGCUUUUGUACGGAACGAAAAGACUCUGGUUAAUACCUGGGGUCCAUGACGGUACCGUAAGAAUAAGCACCGGCUAACUACGUGCCAGCAGCCGCGGUAAUACGUAGGGUGCAAGCGUUAAUCGGAAUUACUGGGCGUAAAGCGUGCGCAGGCGGUUAUAUAAGACAGAUGUGAAAUCCCCGGGCUCAACCUGGGAACUGCAUUUGUGACUGUAUAGCUAGAGUACGGCAGAGGGGGAUGGAAUUCCGCGUGUAGCAGUGAAAUGCGUAGAUAUGCGGAGGAACACCGAUGGCGAANGCAAUCCCCUGGGCCUGUACUGACGCUCAUGCACGAAAGCGUGGGGAGCAAACAGGAUUAGAUACCCUGGUAGUCCACGCCCUAAACGAUGUCNACUGGUUGUUGGGUCUUCACUGACUCAGUAACGAAGCUAACGCGUGAAGUUGACCGCCUGGGGAGUACGGCCGCAAGGUUG